AUUGAACGCUGGCGGCAGGCCUAACACAUGCAAGUCGAACGAGUGGCGGACGGGUGAGUAAUGUCUGGGAAACUGCCCGAUGGAGGGGGAUAACUACUGGAAACGGGAGAUAAUACCGCAUACCAUCGGAUGUGCGCAGAUGUGAUUAGCUAGUAGGUGGGGUAAAGGCUCACCUCGGCGACGAUCCCGAGCUGGUCUGAGAGGAUGACCAGCCACACUGGAACUGAGACACGGUCCAGACUCCUACGGGAGGCAGCAGUGGGGAAUAUUGCACAAUGGGCGCAAGCCUGAUGCAGCCAUGCCGCGUGUAUGAAGAAGGCCUUCGGGUUGUAAAGUACUUUCAGCGAGGAGGCGUUACUCGCAGAAGAAGCACCGGCUAACUCCGUGCCAGCAGCCGCGGUAAUUC
rnacentral:rRNA from 1 species